AAAAUACGGGAGGCAGCAGUGGGGGAUAUUGCACAAUGGAGGGAACUCUGAUGCAGCAAUGCCGCGUGAAGGAAGAAGGUUUUCGGAUUGUAAACUUCUAUCAGCAGGGAGGAAGGAAGUGACUGUACCUGCAGAAGAAGCGACGGCUAAAUACGUGCCAGCAGCCGCGGUAAUUUUU
rnacentral:rRNA from 1 species